UUCGUGGUCUAGUGGUUAAGACCGAUGGCUACAGUGCUGAAGGUCCCGAGUUCGAUCCUCACUCGGGAUGCCAAAAAUUUCAGUACAUCAGAAGGGUGAUUUUCACCCUCUCACACACAUCUCUGGUAUCCAGACCGGAGUUUAAACUAGCUUGGAUACUUCGGGGGCCUCGGUAGGUCAAAGUUGUUCCCAGCUUGACCUGGAGAUCAAUCUUCUGAAAUCUCUUCGGUUUGUCUGUUCC
rnacentral:lncRNA from 1 species